UACGGCGGGUGCAAGCGUUGUCCGGAUUUAUUGGGUUUAAAGGGUGCGUAGGCGGUUCUUUAAGUCAGCGGUGAAAGUCCAGAGCUCAACUCUGGGAUUGCCAUUGAUACUGAAGAACUUGAGUAUAGUUGAGGUAGGCGGUAUUGACAGUGUAGCGGUGAAAUGCAUAGAUAUUGUCAAGAACACCGAUUGCGUAGGCAGCUUACUAAGCUAUAACUGACGCUGAGGCACGAAAGUGUGGGGAUCAAACAGG
rnacentral:rRNA from 1 species